rnacentral:sRNA from 1 species
AUGGCGAGGACACCGACAAGCAAGUCUUCGCCCGUAAGCGGUGGCUCACGCCUAUAGUCCAGGGAUGCCGAGGAGGGAGGAUCGCUUGAGUCCAGGAGUUGGAGGCUGCAGUGAGCCGUGAUCGCGCCACUGCACGCCAGCCUGGGCGACAGAGUGAGACCCUAUCUCUAAACAAAAGAAAGAACGUCUUCAAGCAUGGAGCCAUGAAGCUGGAUUUGGCUUUCUGUCGCUCUCUCUACAGGACAGUGACAAGGCCCUCCCCUCCCUUGGGCUGGACCCCUCUCUACAGCUAGGAGCCAAUGGCAGAACACAGAACCAAACCCAGUGAGUUGGACCAAGGGAAGUAUGAUGCUGAUGACAACGUGAAGAUCAUCUGCCUGGGAGAUAGCGCAGUGGGCAAAUCCAAACUCAUGGAGAGAUUUCUCAUGGAUGGCUUUCAGCCACAGCAGCUGUCCACGUACGCCCUGACCCUGUACAAGCACACAGCCACGGUAGAUGGCAAGACCAUCCUUGUGGACUUUUGGGACACGGCAGGCCAGGAGCGGUUCCAGAGCAUGCAUGCGUCUUACUACCACAAGGCCCACGCCUGCAUCAUGGUGUUUGAUGUACAGAGGAAAGUCACCUAUAAGAACCUGAGCGCCUGGUAUACAGAGCUUCGGGAGUUCAGACCAGAGAUCCCAUGCCUCGUGGUGGCCAAUAAAAUUGACGGUGGGGCCAUCCUGCACGUGGGUGUUAGCAAUUCACUGGGGACCCGCCCUCACACAUUUCCUCCUCCAUUCCCCAGGCAGGCAACCUUCAGUGAUUGGUCCUCCCUCCCACGAUAAGAUACA